AUUGAACGCUGGCGGCAUGCCUUACACAUGCAAGUCGAACGGUAACAGGUCUUCGGAUGCUGACGAGUGGCGCACGGGUGAGUAAUACAUCGGAACGUGCCCGAUCGUGGGGGAUAACGCAGCGAAAGCUGUGCUAAUACCGCAUACGAUCUACGGAUGAAAGCGGGGGAUCGCAAGACCUCGCGCGGACGGAGCGGCCGAUGGCAGAUUAGGUAGUUGGUGGGAUAAAAGCUUACCAAGCCGACGAUCUGUAGCUGGUCUGAGAGGACGACCAGCCACACUGGGACUGAGACACGGCCCAGACUCCUACGGGAGGCAGCAGUGGGGAAUUUUGGACAAUGGGCGCAAGCCUGAUCCAGCCAUGCCGCGUGCAGGAUGAAGGCCUUCGGGUUGUAAACUGCUUUUGUACGGAACGAAAAAGCUCUCUCUAAUACGGGGGGUGAAUGACGGUACCGUAAGAAUAAGCACCGGCUAACUACGUG
rnacentral:rRNA from 1 species